UAGGGAAUCUUCCACAAUGGGCGAAAGCCUGAUGGAGCAACGCCGCGUGUGUGAUGAAGGGUUUCGGCUCGUAAAACACUGUUGUAAGAGAAGAAUGACAUUGAGAGUAACUGCUCAAUGUGUGACGGUAUCUUACCAGAAAGGAACGGCUAAAUACGUGCCAG
rnacentral:rRNA from 1 species